GAACGGGCCUGCUGAGAUUUGGACUGGGCCAAGUGGAAUUGGCUGUUGCUGGGCUGGGCUGGAUGGCUGCCGCUGGGCCGAGCCGAAUGAUUGGGCUGGGCCGCUGCUGGACUGGGCCGAACUACUGUACCGCACGGACUGCUGGACUGGGCCGGCACAAACGGUCCUGGUCGCUCCCGGCGUUCCCUGUACGAUCUUAAAAAAAAAAAGGAAACCGACCCGAUUAGUGUUGGAAGGGGAACCGAGGAGGAGAGGCAAGCUGAGGGGUCCGGAGAUGGGCGAGUCGGCCGAGCUAAGGGUUCGGUGAGCUGAGGGACGGACCGAGAAUCUUCGAGCGAGAGCGAGCUAAGGGAGAGCCGAGGACGAGAAGAGGAAGAGAGAGCUGGGGAGUCGAGCUGUGGGAGGAGUUACGGGUUCGGCUGGGGAGUUGGGCCGUGGACAGUACACGGACCGGUCUGGAGCUUAGGGAGAGCGGGGAGAAAGAGAUUGCGCGAGCUGUGGGCGAAAACCAACGUCCGAGCUGAGGGUUCGACGAGGGAGCUGGGGGGUUGGGCCGUGGGCGAGCUGUCGGGUCCUGGAGCGAGAGUGAGCUCCGGUUUUUUUGAGAGAAUUCGUGAGUUGUGGGUCGUGAUUUCUUUCGAGAGAAAAUGUCGGAGUUGAGGGCCGAAAUGGCGUUCGAGCUAAGAGUGGGUUCCGCCGUUCGAGCUUAGGGUUUUUCUUUGGGAGAAUCCGUGAACUAAGAGAGAGAGAGAGAGCCGAAGCUUCGAUUUUUUCUUCGUUAGGGUUUUCUUGAGGUCGAAGAAGCUGAGGGAGAGAGGGAGCGUCUAGGGUUUUUGGAUAGAUGGAAGAAUGUUGCGGUUAGGGUUUCCGUUUUCCUCUCGGUUUUUAUUUUUUUCGGGCAUCCCCUUGAAGUAGAAAAAAAAAGGAGAAAAAAAAUAAAAAAGAAGAGAAUAAGGAGAGAAAAGAAAGAAGGCCGCAGCUAGAAGAAGAAGGAAGAGGAAGAAGACAAAAAAUUGGGGGGAGGAGGGGGCAACGGUCAACUCCUAACUGUUGCCUCUGACAUUUUUUUUUUUAUAUUUCUCUAGCACAUGUCUUACAUAUACAGUGAGAUGAUAACUUCAUAUGCCGAAAGUUUCAGCAUGCAGCUGUACUCAUGUUUGUCCAGUCAUCUUCAAUCAUUGUCCUGCCCGGGCGACAGGACAUGAGUUUUCUUUGUUAAGACCUCAAAUUAAAGAAACUAUUCUUUAAAAUUAAUUUUCCAUUUUAAUAUUGUUGACGAGUUGACCAAAAGAAAGCUCCAUCUUGUAUGCAAACAUUGGUGAGGAUUGCUCACUGAAGACAUGCAUGUUCAUGACUGCUGAUUAGUUCCUCUCCGAAUACAUUCCUAAUGGCGAGCAAUAGGAAUGGAAAUGACAUGAAUCCGCAGUUCCCAUACUAUUUCGCUCCUCCAACCUGGGCAGAUCCAUACCAAUCAUCCUCGUCCUCGUCCUCAUCAUCAGUUCCGAAAUGGGUUAUCGCUGCAAUAGUUGCAGUCGGCGUCAAUGCAGGCAUACUCCUGUUUCUGUACAUCAGGAGGAGGGAGAAAAAGAUCAAGAAGAAAGCUGCCGCCGAGGCUGCUGCCAAGCCCGGCCCUGCUCCCAAGGGCAAUGACGGCAAGCCUGCAAACCCACCGAAACCAUUUCCAACCAGUUGUCAGUCCUGCGGGCAUGUCGGGGGCACACUCACUUAUCUGUGUCCCUGGUGCAAGUAUAAGGCAGAAACUAGCUGGCCUUAGCCAGGACCUCCAGAGAAAAAAUAAAAAACUAUAGCUGUAGAAGAACCUUAGUUUUCAGUAUUAGUCAGUUCAUCGGACUUGGAUCAUCCGAGUUCAGCAGUUACAUUGAUCAUCCGAGUUUGAGAAUAAAUUAUAAUUGCAGAUA